rnacentral:rRNA from 1 species
GCGAAAGCAGGUCAUAGUGAUCCGGUGGUUCUGAAUGGAAGGGCCAUCGCUCAACGGAUAAAAGGUACUCCGGGGAUAACAGGCUGAUACCGCCCAAGAGUUCAUAUCGACGGCGGUGUUUGGCACCUCGAUGUCGGCUCAUCACAUCCUGGGGCUGAAGUAGGUCCCAAGGGUAUGGCUGUUCGCCAUUUAAAGUGGUACGCGAGCUGGGUUUAGAACGUCGUGAGACAGUUCGGUCCCUAUCUGCCGUGGGCGCUGGAGAACUGAGGGGGGCUGCUCCUAGUACGAGAGGACCGGAGUGGACGCAUCACUGGUGUUCGGGUUGUCAUGCCAAUGGCACUGCCCGGUAGCUAAAUGCGGAAGAGAUAAGUGCUGAAAGCAUCUAAGCACGAAACUUGCCCCGAGAUGAGUUCUCCCUGACUCCUUGAGAGUCCUGAAGGAACGUUGAAGACGACGACGUUGAUAGGCCGGAUGUGUAAGCGCAGCGAUGCGUUGAGCUAACCGGUACUAAUGAACCGUGAGGCUUAACCUU